rnacentral:rRNA from 1 species
CUUUCUUUGCUGGCGACCGGCGCACGGGUGAGUAACACGUAUCCAACCUGCCCUUUACUCGGGGAUAGCCUUUCGAAAGAAAGAUUAAUACCCGAUAGCAUAAUGAUUCCGCAUGGUUUCAUUAUUAAAGGAUUCCGGUAAAGGAUGGGGAUGCGUUCCAUUAGGUUGUUGGUGAGGUAACGGCCCACCAAGCCUUCGAUGGAUAGGGGUUCUGAGAGGAAGGUCCUCCACAUUGGAACUGAGACACGGUCCAA